GGGUCAGUGGCGUAGCUGGUUAUCGCAUCUGUCUAACAUAGAGUUCGCGGGUGUUUGACGCACAGAAGGUCCUCAGUUCGAAUCUGGGCUGACUCA
rnacentral:tRNA from 1 species